AUGAGCACUUUUUCUGCCAGAUCUGACAUGGGUGUCUUUCAAGGAAUUUUUCUAUGUCAUCUAAGUUGGAAAAUUUGUGGUCAUAAAGCUGUUAAUAAACCUGACACGUUCACCCUCUCAGUGUCGGUGGGAGGUGAGAUGGCGCCUCCUCUAUUUCCUGACACAUUCACUGUCUCAGUGUCUAUGGGAGGUGAGAUGGCGCCUCCUCUCGUUCCUGACACGUUCACUCUCUCAGUGUCUGUGGGAGGUGAGAUGGCGCCUCCUCUCCUUGCUGCAACAUUCACUGUCUCAGCGUUUGUGGGAGGUGAGAUGGCGCCUCCUCUCGUUCCUGAAAUGUUCACUGUCUCAGCGUUUGUGGGAGGUGAGAUGGCACCUCCUCUCCUUCCUGAAACGUUCACUCUCUCGGUGUCAGUGGGAGGUGAGAUGGUGCCUCCUCUCCUUCAUGAAACGUUCACUGUCUCAGCGUUUGUGGGAGGUGAGAUGGCACCUCCUCUCGUUCCUGACACGUUCACUCUCUCGGUGUCUGUGGGAGGUGAGAUGGCACCUCCUCUUCUUCCUGACACGUUCACUCUCUCAGUGUCUGUGGGAGGUGAGAUGGCACCUCCUCUUCUUCCUGACACGUUCACUCUCUCGGUGUCUGUGGGAGGUGAGAUGGCACCUCCUCUCGUUCCUGACACGUUCACUCUCUCGGUGUCUGUGGGAGGUGAGAUGGCGCCUCCUCUUCUUCCUGACACGUUCACUCUCUCGGUGUCUGUGGGAGGUGAGAUGGCGCCUCCUCUCGUUCCUGACACGUUCACUCUCUCGGUGUCUGUGGGAGGUGAGAUGGCGCCUCCUCUCGUUCCUGACACGUUCACUCUCUCGGUGUCUGUGGGAGGUGAGAUGGCGCCUCCCCUCGUUCCUGACACGUUCACUCUCUCGGUGUCUGUGGGAGGUGAGAUGGCGCCUCCUCUCCUUCCUGAAACGUUCACUCUCUCGGUGUCUGUGGGAGGUGAGAUGGCGCCUCCUCUUCUUCCUGACACGUUCACCCUCUCGGUGUCUGUGGGAGGUGAGAUGGCGCCUCCUCUCGUUCCUGACACGUUCACUCUCUCAGUGUCUGUGGGAGGUGAGAUGGCGCCUCCUCUUCUUCCUGACACGUUCACUCUCUCGGUGUCUGUGGGAGGUGAGAUGGCUCCUCCUCUCCUUCCUGACACGUUCACUCUCUCAGUGUCUGUGGGAGGUGAGAUGGCGCCUCCUCUCGUUCCUUAAACGUCCACUCUCUCGGUCUCUGUUGGAGGUGAGAUGGCGCCUCCUCUCCUUCCUGACACGUUCACUCUCUCAGUGUCUGUGGGAGGUGAGAUGGCGCCUCCUCUGCUUCCUGCCAGUGCUGAUUUCUGGUUUCCUUUCUUCGUUUCCUUUGAUUCGUCCAAGUGGAAAUCUGUGGGUUCUAUGGAUCUUUCCAAAUUAGCCGCUCUUGCUUUCCUUGAUUUUCUCUGUUGUUUGUCUGCUUUCUACUUCAUUUCUGUCUACUGGUGUCUUCGUUAUUUUUUCUUCCUCGUUUAUGUUUAAUUUUCUUUCUUUAGUCCUUGGUGAGGUCGCGAGCUCUGUCCUAAAGGGGCCUGGGUUCCCUCUACGGGCAGGUUUGUUGGGGAACCCAGGGCUCCGGGUCCCAGCCCAGACUGUGCUGGGGACUGAGGGGAGGAGUAAACCAAGGGCUUGGUGGCUUCUGUCCUUACCCAGACCUUGGUGCCCCGGGCCCUGGGUGGCUGAGUGCCCCCUCCGCCCCAGGCAUCCCUACUGGCCCUCCUGGGACCAGGCAGCUGAGCGGGCUGGACCUGGAGCUGGCAGCAGCCACAGGGGGGCAGCACAUCCCCAGGAACAGUCAUAUGUGCGAGAGUGAAUGAGUGUCUGUGUGAGCAUGAGUGCAUGUGUGUGUGUGUGAGCAUGUAUGUGUGUAUGUGUGUAUAUAUGUGUGUGUGACCAUGCGUGUGUGUAUGUGUGUGCGAGCAUGGGUGCAUGUGUAUGUGCGUGUGUGAGCAUAUAUGUGUGUGCGAGCAUGCAUGUGUGUGUGAGCAUGCAUGCGUGUAUAUAUUUGUGACAGCAUGCAUGUGUGUGUGUAUGUGUGUGAGAGCAUGCAUGUGUGUGUAUAUUUGUGAGAGCAUGCAUGCAUGUGUAUAUUUGUGAGAGCAUGUAUGCAUGUGUGUGAGCAUGCAUGCGUGCGUGUGUGUGUGUGUGAGAGCAUGUGUGUGAGCAUGCAUGCAUGUGUAUGUGUGCAUGUGUGAGCAUGUGUUCGUGUGCAUGUGUGUGAGCAUGCGUGUGAACAUGGGUGCGUGUAUGUUUGCAUGUGUGAUCAUAUGUGCAUGUGUAUAUGUGUGAGCAUGCGGGAGUCUAGUGUGUGAGCAUGGGUGUGUGUGUGUGCGCUAGCAUGUGGGCAUCUGUGUGUGACCAUGCGUGCAUGUGUGUGUGCAAACAUGGAUACAUGUGUGCAAUCAUGUGCAUAUGUGUGUGUUAGAAUGUGUCCGUGUGUAUGUGCAUGUGUCUGCCCGUGUGUGCACGCUCAUAUAAGCAUGUGUACGCAUGUGAACCAAGCCUCCUCAAGGUACCUGGUCUAACAGGGCUUCUCUGUUUCUCCCCAUCUAGGGCUCCUCCCCUUCUCAGCCCCCUCCUCAUCUGAGCCCCCCAGGGCAUUGAGGGCUACAGCCCUCCCACACUCAGCCUCCACUUGGCCCGGUGGGUGGCAGCGGGUGUCUGGGGAAUGGCUGCAGGCCGCAGGCCAGUGUGGGUGGGAGGGAGACUCUUUGCUGUAAGAUGCUGGAGGCCGAUUCUCUCCAACUAGCCCCUCUCCAGUCUCUCCUCUUGCUCCGGGUCUUUAACCCCUUCCCCCACUCCCAGAGCCCAGGCUGAGCUCCAGGAGCCGGUGGGCGGAGG
ensembl:lncRNA